UACAGAGGGGGCAAGCGUUGUUCGGAAUUACUGGGCGUAAAGGGCGCGUAGGCGGCCUGUUAAGUCGAACGUGAAAUCCCCGGGCUCAACCCGGGAACUGCGUCCGAUACUGGCAGGCUUGAAUUCGGGAGAGGGAUGCGGAAUUCCAGGUGUAGCGGUGAAAUGCGUAGAUAUCUGGAGGAACACCGGUGGCGAAGGCGGCAUCCUGGACCGAGAUUGACGCUGAGGCGCGAAAGCUAGGGGAGCAAACGGG
rnacentral:rRNA from 1 species